rnacentral:lncRNA from 1 species
UAAAAUGAUAUUAUCUCAAUUUGUAACCUAAAAUUUUCUUUUUAGGUUUCUUUUGACUCUAAAGUCAUUUGUUCGUAAUUGAGCACAUCCAGAAGGAUCUAUUAUAGAAGGAUAUUUAGCUCAUGAAUGCUUGAUAUUUUGUUCAAGAUAUCUAUCUAGGGUGGAGACUAGUUUUAAUCGAUCUGCUCAUGUCAUACCCUAAUUUCGUCCG